UGGGCUUGUGGUUAACUUAUAUUGAUGAAAUUCUCAAAGUUCAUGAAGGACGGAAAUCAUACCAGAUUCGUGAAUGUCCUAAGCUUUCAGAGGAGAGAAUUUUGUGCAUUGGUUCCAGCAGGAAACGUCCUGUUCUAAAAUGGGAGAAUAACAUGGCGUGGCCAGGAAAAGUUAUUUUAACUGAUAAAGCACUUUAUUUUGAGGCUGUUGGUUUGGCUGGGCAGAAAGAUCCUAUAAGGUUUGAUCUUACUAGAAAAGGAAUACAGGUGGAGAAGACAAAGGUUGGACCUUUGGGUUAUGUGCUUUUUGAUUCUGCAGUCUCUAUUUCAUCUGGUCCCAACUCGGAGACAUGG
rnacentral:misc_RNA from 1 species